AUGACCGCGGCGAUGCGGAUACUAACAUAUGGAAUAGCAGCCGAUUAUGUUGAUGAGUACAUCCGGUCCGCUGAGUCUACUAAUUUAGAGUCUUGCAAGAAAUUUGUGAUCAAAAUUUGUGAAGUUUUUGGGGAAAAGUACCUGAGAUCUCCAAAUGAAGAAGACAUUGCUAGGUUACUUGCAAUAGGGGAGGAAAGAGGAUUUCCCGGUAUGUUAGGGAGCAUAGAUUGCAUGCACUGGGGGUGGAAAAAUUGCCCCAAAAAAUGGCACGGCAUGUUUAAAGGCCAUGUGAGCGAGCCCACUAUGAUCUUGGAAGCAGUUGCUUCACAAGAUCUUUGGAUUUGGCAUGCUUAUUUUGGUUUACCAGGGUCUCUGAAUGAUAUAAAUGUUCUUCAACGUUCUCCUGUUUUUACAAAGCUAGCCGAAGGCCAAACUCCUCCAGUGAAUUAUAGCAUCAAUGGCCAUCAGUACACAAUGGGGUAUUACCUUGCAGAUGGUAUCUAUCCACGGUGGGCAACAUUUGUGAAGAGCAUACCAGCUCCAACUAGCAGAAAGCAUAAAACUUUUGCCAAGAAGCAAGAGGGGGCUAGGAAAGAUGUGGAACGAGCCUUUGGAGUUCUGCAAUCCCGUUUUGCCAUUGUUCGUGGACCGGCUAAAGGAUGGAAACGUAAAGAAAUCACUGAUGUCAUGAAAGCUUGUGUCAUAAUGCACAAUAUGAUAGUUGAAGAGGAGCGGCAAACUGGUCGGCAAAGCUGCACUUUUGAGGCAAUGGGAGAAAGAGUCACAGUCUCUCGUACUCAUGCGGAAGAACUGAGCUCUUUUAUUCAGAUGACUAAUCGGAUUAGAAAUUUCGAUGAACAUGAUCAGCUUAAACUUGAUCUAAUUGACCAUGUCUGGCAAAAGUUUGGAAACGAGUGA
rnacentral:rRNA from 1 species